UCUCCGUUGGUGAACCAGCGGAGGGAUCAUUACAGAGUUGCAAAAUUCCCAAACCAUUGUGAACGUUGCCUAUCCCGUUGCUUCGGCGGGCGGCCCGGGCCCCGUGCCCGGCGCCCCCCGGCCCCUCGCGGGCGCCCGCCGGGGUAAACCAAACUCUUGAAUUGUAUGGCCUCUCUGAGUCUUCUGUACUGAAUAAGUCAAAACUUUCAACAACGGAUCUCUUGGUUCUG
rnacentral:misc_RNA from 1 species